CUGAGUGUCUCUUCCAGCUCUUCCAUGUUCAGAGGAGGAAACUGAGCCCAGGAAACUGUUGCCUGGGGUUACAGAGAGCAGGGACUGGCAUCUGGCCUGGCUGCCAUUCCCUCUGUGACAGUGACAAUAGCGGUGUGCCUGGGCAAGGACAGGCACACAGUCUCCUUUCCAGAAAGGCAGUGCACCAGGCUGUGUGGCCUCCUCCGGAUGACCUUGGCCUCUGGGCUAUGUGUUUGCCUUUCCUGACUUCCUCACAGUGUGGCUCCACCCAGGAUGUGAGCGGACAACUUGUCUCCCAAGAGGAAGCAUUGUUCCUAGGAUGGAUUCAGACAGUGAAGCCAACAGAUGAGGAGCCACCGCCAUUGCAGAGAUGGUUUGUUAUUCACAGUUCCCAGGAGGAGGGGGAUGGCUGUAACAACAACAACAACAACAACAACAAACAACAACAACAAUCUACAAGCUGGACAGCAGCAGAACCACAGAGGUUCAUUUCUUACAGUCCUGGAGCCUAGAAGCCCAAGACGGGGCAGACUGAAGAAGUGUAUGGCAAGGGACAGAUACCUGCUGGCUCACCUUGGAGUAGGUGGCCCCGUUGAUGACCUCUCCUUUACGUAGCCAGAUGAUGGAAGCUGCGGGCUUGGCAUUGUCCGCGUGGCAGUGUGGUUAGUGACUGGUGGCACUCUUCAGAUAUCCAUAGUGCCAAAGGGGAAUGGACUUGGGAUUGUCCCCUACACUGUGGAGCAAGGUCCCUGCAGGGCCAACAUCGAACUCCACGCCUUGAAGCAGCCGCAGAGACACCUGCUGGAUUCAAUGAACCACAUUUGAUUCCCGUGAAGGCCACACUGUAGGAUGGACAGGGAUGACGCUGCAGAACCUGCUUGCCUUCCUUUCCCGUCAGCUCCUGACGUCAUCUACUGGACUUCUCUAACAGGCCAGUACCCAAAGCAGCAAGCCUUUAAGUUGGUCACCCCACUUAUCCCUGUCUGGUCCCCACAGAAGGUUGACUCAGUUCUAACAGCCCUGCAGAAUUUCCAUUUCCUGAGGAACCUCAACUUUGUAGGGCUCUGGAGAUGGGGUCACUUUUUUACUAGCUCUGGAUGCCAAAAUGAUCCUGGCUCAGGGAGAAAGUUGGCCUUAUCUAACCCUUCUAUACCCAUAGCUCUGAAGCCAGACCUCUCCAGGAGGCCCCGGAGCUGCCAGGCUGGAGGAGGCAGGCGGGUAUGGGCUGGACACCCAAGAUAACCAACCGCUUGUGCCCAUUGUACCCUCUUAUUAGUGCCUGUGGUCUCCUUGGUGUAGGCGUGGCCGGAGAGCAAAGGGGGGUUAAUUAGGGCUUUCCAUCAAUGGGGGUGUGGCUAGCAACUGAUGAAAGGGAUUUCAGCUUCCUGCACUGGGGGUGGGCUGGGCCCCUCCAGCAGUGAGGGCUGGGGCUUGCAGUACUCUGUGGAAAUUUGGGUGGUCCUGCUCAGCUCUCAGUAUAGGCAGUGCCCUUCUCAGCAUUGGGUGCUCAUGAAAGAGGAGCUCCCGUUCCUGAGUUGGGCUGAGAGGAGACUGACUGGUCCCAGAGCAGAAGGACCACCUGGCCCUUUGGGCAUCCUUCCUCUCGCAAUGAUGAGUUAAGAGGUAUGAUGGCUGACGGUCAGAGGCAGUGUCUUCAGGCAGAAAGUGUGAGCACUCCCUCCAGCACCGACAUGUGUUGGAACCAGACAGGGCUUGGCUGGCAACCUUCUGGGGAAGUUUCAUCAAUCCCAUUGCCAGGAUGCUCUCUGACCAAUGAGACCCCAGAGUGUGGAGCUGGUCCCCCAGCAUGUGGAUGAGUAACCACAUUUGAGUACUCUGGGCUUUUGGCUUAGGUGCAUAGGGCUGUUCUAUGUUCUGAUUGUGUGUGUGUGUGUGUGUGUGUGUGUGUGUGUGUGUGUGUAUGUGUUCUUUCUAGAAACUCAUACCAGAGGCUCUACACCCCCCUUCCAUCUUGCUUCACCAGUGUUGUGCUUCAGAUUGCAUUAGCAGGAUUGGGGGAUGAGGCGAGCUGGGAGGGGAGAGGGGCUGUGUUGUGGGAGUUCUUAGGCACGCACACACAUUCACACACACAAACAUCCACCCUCAGAAUGGGUCCUGAUUACAUCUUCCCAAAUAAGUGGUUAUCAUGCUGGUUAUUCAUGUAGCCAUGCAUUAUUGAUUGGCCUUCGC